rnacentral:rRNA from 1 species
GAUGAACGCUGGCGGCGUGCCUAAUACAUGCAAGUCGAGCGAACAGACGAGGAGCUUGCUCCUCUGACGUUAGCGGCGGACGGGUGAGUAACACGUGGAUAACCUACCUAUAAGACUGGGAUAACUUCGGGAAACCGGAGCUAAUACCGGAUAAUAUAUUGAACCGCAUGGUUCAAUAGUGAAAGACGGUUUUGCUGUCACUUAUAGAUGGAUCCGCGCCGCAUUAGCUAGUUGGUAAGGUAACGGCUUACCAAGGCGACGAUGCGUAGCCGACCUGAGAGGGUGAUCGGCCACACUGGAACUGCGACACGGUCCAGACUCCUACGGGAGGCAGCAGUAGGGAAUCUUCCGCAAUGGGCGAAAGCUUGACGGAGCAACGCCGCGUGAGUGAUGAAGGUCUUCGGAUCGUAAAACUCUGUUAUUAGGGAAGAACAAAUGUGUAAGUAACUAUGCACGUCUUGACGGUACCUACUCAGAAAGCCACGGCUAACUACGUG